rnacentral:rRNA from 1 species
AGGAUGAACGCUGGCGGCGUGCUUAACACAUGCAAGUCGAACGAUGAAGGCUGGAGCUUGCUCUGGCUGGAUUAGUGGCGAACGGGUGAGUAACACGUGAGUAACCUGCCCCAGACUCUGGGAUAAGCGCUGGAAACGGCGUCUAAUACCGGAUACGAGCUUCCACCGCAUGGUGAGGAGCUGGAAAGAUUUCGGCUGGGAUGGACUCGCGGCCUAUCAGCUUGUGGUGAGGUAUGGCUCACCAAGGCGACGACGGGUA